GGAUAUGGAAUCAUCAUCAUUUAGCUUCUUGAACCAGAUUCCGCAAAGUUACAUCUUUUCAGACUUGGCAGAGGAUUUCAGCCAAAGUGCAGAAAUGACGCCAUUCCUCACUUCUGAAACAAAUAACUUCUCUGAUUCAACUGGAGGAGAUCAUACACGUUGAGCAGCCAUACACAGUGCACCAACCAUCUGUACAUACUCUUAUGCGCAGGCAAACCUGCAUUGAUGGAGAA